rnacentral:rRNA from 1 species
AAGACGUCAAAAUGCAGUGGGGGAUAUUGCACAAUGGGGGAAACCCUGAUGCAGCGACGCCGCGUGGGCGAAGAAGUAUCUCGGUAUGUAAAGCCCUAUCAGCAGGGAAGAAGAAAUGACGGUACCUGAGUAAGAAGCACCGGCUAAAUACGUGCCAGCAGCCGCGGUAAUACGUAGGGUGCAAGCGUUAUCCGGAUUUACUGGGUGUAAAGGGAGCGCAGGCGGCACGGCAAGCCUGAUGUGAAAGCCCGCGGCCCAACCGCGGGACUGCAGUGGGAACUACCGGGCUGGAGUGCCGGAGAGGUAGGCGGAAUUCCUGGUGUAGCGGUGAAAUGCGUAGAUAUUAGGCGGAACACCAGUGGCGAAGGCGGCCUACUGGACGGUGACUGACGCUGAGGCUCGAAAGCGUGGGGAGCAAACAGGAUUAGAUACCCGGGUAGUA